CACGUAGGGGACGAGCGUUGUCCGGAUUCAUUGGGCGUAAAGCGCGCGUAGGCGGCUCGGAAAGUCGGUCGUGAAAUGCCGGGGCUCAACCCCGGGACUGCGUCCGAUACUUCCGGGCUGGAGGUAGGUAGGGGAGAUCGGAAUUCCUGGUGUAGCGGUGAAAUGCGCAGAUAUCAGGAGGAACACCAAUGGCGAAGGCAGCUCGCUGGGACGGUACUGACGCUGAGACGCGAAAGCGUGGGGAGCAAACAGG
rnacentral:rRNA from 1 species